rnacentral:rRNA from 1 species
CAGCAGCCGCGGGAAUACAGAGGAUGCAAGCGUUAUCCGGAAUGAUUGGGCGUAAAGCGUCUGUAGGUGGCUUUUCAAGUCCGCCGUCAAAUCCCAGGGCUCAACCGUGGACAGGCGGUGGAAACUACCAAGCUGGAGUACGGUAGGGGCAGAGGGAAUUUCCGAUGGAGCGGUGAAAUGCGUUGAGAUCGGAAAGAACACCAACGGAGAAAGCACUCUGCUGGGCCGACACUGACACUGAGAGACGAAAUCUAGGGGAGCAAAUGGGAUUAGAUACCCCCGUAGUCCCUGUCUCUUAUAC